GCAGUCGUGGCCUACUGGUUAAGGCUUCGGGCUUGUAAACGGAGGGUUGCUGGUUUAAUCCCUGACCAGUAGGA
rnacentral:tRNA from 1 species